UACGAAGGGGGCUAGCGUUGCUCGGAAUCACUGGGCGUAAAGGGUGCGUAGGCGGGUCUUUAAGUCAGGGGUGAAAUCCUGGAGCUCAACUCCAGAACUGCCUUUGAUACUGAGGAUCUUGAGUUCGGGAGAGGUGAGUGGAACUGCGAGUGUAGAGGUGAAAUUCGUAGAUAUCGCAAGAACACCAGUGGCGAAGGCGGCUCACUGGCCCGAUACUGACGCUGAGGCACGAAAGCGUGGGGAGCAAACAGGG
rnacentral:rRNA from 1 species